rfam:Thielaviopsis punctulata NODE_1879, whole genome shotgun sequence.
CUCACCAUGGUGUAGUUGGUUAUCACGUUCGACUGUAACUUGCAAAGGAUGCCAUCGAAAGGUCACCGAUUCGAUUUCGGUUGGUGAGA